CACAUCGCUUCCGUCCGUCGCAUGGCAGCGGCGGUCGCCACCACCACGCUCUCCGACGCUACGCCACCUCCUUGCCUUUCUCCUCCCGACGAAUAUUCACUUCGUAUUCUUCGCCUCUGCGCUUCCGACCACCUCCCGCAUAUCCACUCCGCCCUCGCAUUACCUUCCGCUGUCCACCCCUCGGCCUUCGCCGCCCUCUUCCACGCCUGCGCCCGUCGCCGCCUCCUAUAUCUCGGCAGAUGCCUCCACCGCUGCAUGCUCUCCCUUCUCCCGUGGCCGCCCGAUCUCUUCGUCGCCAACCAUCUUCUCAACAUGUAUGCCAAGUGCGGCCGCCUCGACCUUGCCCGCCGCGUGUUCAAGGAAAUGCCCCGCCGCAACCUCGUCUCUUGGACCGCCCUCCUUUCCGGGUUCGCUCAGCACGGCCAUCACGAUGAUUGCUUCGGCCUCCUCGCUGGCAUGCUCCCUCACCACCUCCCCAAUGAGUUCGCCCUCGCCACCGCCCUCAGCUCCUGCGCUGGGGCAGCUCGUGGUUUCCGAGGCCGCCAGGUACACGCCCUUGCCUCUAAGAUCUACCUCGAUGCCAAUGUAUUCGUGGGCAACGCCCUGAUCACUAUGUACUCCAGCUGCUAUGGCCAGUGCGACGAUAGCUGGGCCGUCUUUCGGACGAUGCCUUUCCAGAACCUUGUCACUUGGAAUUCGAUGAUUGCAGGGUUCCGACAGAAUGGUCAGCUGGACCGGUCGCUGGAGCUUUUUGUGGAAAUGCAACGAGGUGGCCUUGGGUUCGAUCGUGCCACAUUAGUUAGUGUCAUCUCCUCGUGUUCUUGCCUUCAGCAUUGCCGGCAGUUGCACUCUCCCGUCAUUAAAACUUGUUAUGAUUAUGAGGUUGAGGUUGCAACUGCUCUCGUCAAGGCAUACUCCAUUGUGGGUGGCGGCACCGAUGACUGUUAUGGAGUAUUCGGUGGGGUUAGGGAACAUGACAUUGUGUCUUGGACGGGCAUAAUGACUUCAUUUGCCGAGCAGCUGCCUGAAGAGGCAAUUCGGCUCUUUUGCCAACUGCGCUACAAGAAUUACAGUCCUGAUAGAUACACAUUUUCUAUUGUGGUGAAGGCCUGUUCAGGCUUCGCAACAGAGCGGCACUGCUCUGCUGUCCAUUCACUAAUUGAGAAGUCUGGGUUUGGAGAUGAUUUGGUUCUUUCAAAUGCAUUAAUCCAUGCCUAUGCUCGGUGUGGUAGCAUUGUCAUGGCAGAACAUAUCUUUGAGAGAAUGGUGGUUCACGAUGUAGUGUCAUGGAACUCAAUGAUCAAGGCUUAUGCUGCUCAUGGGCGUGGGAGGAAGGCACUUGGAGUUUUUAGAUGUAUGGAUAUUCCACCUGAUUCUGCUACCUUUGUUGGGCUUCUAACUGCAUGUAGCCAUAGCGGGCUUGUAAACGAAGGCCGGGAUCUCUUCAAUUCUAUGUUGAAAGCAUAUGGGAUUGCUCCUCAGCUCGAUCAUUUUGCUUGUAUGGUCGAUAUUCUUGGACGUGCUGGGAACUUGCAAGAGGCUGAGGAUCUGAUAAAUCAAAUGGAAGUGGAACCGGACUUUGUUGUAUGGAGUGCAUUGCUUGGAGCAUGCAGGAAGCACAAGGAGGCUAGGAUUGCAGAAAAAGCAGCCCAAAGGCUGAUGGAAUUGAAGCCCAAGAAUUCAAUUGGGUAUGUGAUGAUGUCCAACAUCCAUUAUGAUAGGGGUAACCUAGAGGAUGCAUCCUUUAUUAGGAAGGAUAUGAAAGAGUGUGGAGUGAAGAAGGAACCUGGGCUUAGCUGGAUUGAGAUUGAGAAUCACAUUCAUAGGUUUUCAGUAGGUGCACGGCACCAUCCACAAAGGAAGGCAAUAUAUGCUGAGCUCAAUCGGCUAGUGGAUAGUCUUAAGGAAAUUGGUUAUGUGGUGGAGACCCGAUUAGUGCAUCAUGAGACUCAGGAGCACAAGGAAGAGCGGCUGUUGCAUCACAGUGAGAAAUUGGCCUUGGCUUUUGCACUUAUGAACACUUCUGCUAGUAAGACUAAUUUAAAGAUUAUGAAGAACUUGAGAAUCUGUGAGGAUUGCCACAAGUUCUUCAAGUUGGCAUCCAGUUAUUUGCAGAAAGAGAUUAUAGUGAGGGAUGCAAACCGUUUCCAUCAUUUUGUUGAUGGAGAGUGCUCAUGUGGUGACUUUUGGUAAUUGACAUCAUUUACCAAGCUAAGAGGUACUCGUUACAACAUCUUACGGGAGUAGAGACAAAUAAGUUUUGGCAGGAAACAGAUACACAUAGUUAUUGUCUUUCUUAUUAUAUCUUUACCAUUAAACUGUAGCAUCCUCUUGAUAAUUAGGCAACGAACAUUAGGAUUUUUUUUCUUAUACCUAACAAAUCCUACAAUAUAAAGACCAAAGCUCUGGUGGUUUGAUCAUAUAGUUUGAGCUUAUAAUGAAGUUGCUAGCCUAGGCAUAUAGCUUAAAGUAGCUGUUUGUCUUCUGUUUGAGUGUUGUUGAUAUCGGAAGCAUUGGAGGUGAUGAGCCUUCCAUGAUAUGGUGACAAUACCUUGUCUUCUUCUAGAAUUUCUGUUUUGUCACUUCAUGACUAGUUUACUUGUGAUGGUAUCUUUAUCAAUGUAGUCUUUUGUCAUGCGGUCGAGUCGUCUAAUGCUAGUUGCAAUUGAAAGAAAGUUUUAUGGUCCAUUUUAGAUAUUAUUUCCAAGUACAUGGACACUUAAAUCACUACAUGAAUUUCCUGCAUGGUGUAUGAUAUUAGUAAUUGCAUGUACUCCUGAAACCAGUUAACUGCCUUACUGAUACUAGUGGAUGUCUACUUUGAGAUAUGAAGUUGAUCUUUUAUGCUUGUUGGACUUGCAUAUCUUUGGUGCAUAGUUCAUAGAUUUUAUUUCCUAAGCAUACUUGAAUAAGACAACGAUGACAAUUCAUGGUAUGUUCGUACCUGGAUGACUGAUGUUACUAGUGUGGUAUAUGGAGGCUGGCAUUCCAAGGGACGGGCUUCUUUGUCCUUGGUUGUUACAUAGUCAGUGACAGCUAAAUAACAGAUAAUGGCAUAGCUGAACUAGUGGUCAGUCUCUCAAUGAAGUAGCGAUGAAAUAAUCACAGCUACAUGACUUAUUUGAGGGCAGAAACAAGUUCAGCAUACAUAUGGAAGUACAUAAUGAGAAUUGCCCAUUCUGGCAACUUGAAUAUGGUUAACUUUAUGGACUAGAGUAAUUUCCACUACGUUGGGGAUGGUGCACCACAUCCAAGAACAUGUCAUAUUCAUGGGGCAGUUUCACAUUUAGAAGUUUGAUCUGCACAACAUUGGGUGAGCUCAGGGUUGGAGGUGCCAAAAAUGAUGGAGAGAAACAGCGAUGGUGAGAAAAGAGAUGUUCAGCAAGGUGGUAGCUCAUUCGAGUGGCUCAAGGAAUAGGCAUAUCGCUCGAGGAAAGGAGUUGCUUUCCCUUAAGAAAAAGCAGAGGGAUGCUGUGGCUCAAUUUUAUGUUAAUACCAAGGGGCUGAUGAAGGUUGAGAUCUUUUCUCUUCCAUUUAAAGGGAGAAGAAACAGUCCAUGGAUGAUCUAAUUUUCAACAUGACAUAAUUGCUGGCCUCCCCAACUCAGGUGCUCGAUCAUAUUCCUUCCCAUUGUUUAGUCCUUGAGGUGGAGAUGCACAAACUUUCGCAGCCUAUCAUGAGCUAAUGCCCCAGGAAUAUAUAAAUACACCAAGAAGUGCAAUUGGCUUGGCGUCGUGGAAAUGUAGAAGAAGAGCCCUCCAACCACCCCUAUUAACUGUACUUGAGAGGUUGGUGACAACAGUGGGCAGCAAGACCUUCUCCCUCCCCUUGGUCAAGCCCUUCAUUCCAUCGAACAUCUUGUUCAGCGAAGCUGGUCGGUGGUGCCUGCUGCUGUAAUCCUAUCGGAGACCUCGAAACCCAAUGGUUCAAUCUUCUACGACAGAGCCAUAUUGCUCCAGGUCAAGCGAGGCCAGCGAUGACGUCGAGUGCUCCGGCAACUCAUGUCGUUCGUGCACCGCAGUCCUUGUCGCCAACUGCAUCGCGUUAGGCUGCUGCCCGUGCGCCGUCGUGAACAUGCUGGCGCUGACCUUGGUGAAGGUCCCGUGGAUGGUGUCGAAGCGGUGGUGGCAGUCGCUGAGGAGAAGAGGAGCUUCUCAGCGAAGAAGAGUGGCCGAUGUGGCGACCGUGGGAAGAGAAGGAACGAGCUCAGAGAUGAAGAGGAACUACAAGUGGAACGAAGAGGGUGCUGUGGGGGAAAGAAAGGGUCACAGUGGGCGUGGAAGCUUACCUUCAAGUCUUGGAGCUGACGAUGGAGUUUGGGAGGAGUUGUAUCGAGUAGGGAACUGGGGGUUCGGGAGAGUUUCCUUCUCGGGCACUCAAAGAGAGUGGCAAUCAGGGAAGAACACCUCCGGUGAUGACGAGCUUGGAGAGCAGCGCUAGUGGACGCGGUUGCAGCGUGGGCUCGUUCCACCUAUAAUCUCUGUGAAAAGCUGCUCUAUCAUGAUGUGCAUACUGUAGUCUUCCUCGAAUGUUGUCGGCAUCUCAUUACUGGGAAUGUUAUCAUUGAAAGAACACUGAUCGAUUUAUUUCAGCUACCGUUUAAGACUUUUACAUGUUAUUG